AGAGUUUGAUCAUGGCUCAGAGUGAUCGCUGGCGGCGUGCUUAACACAUGCAAGUCGAGCGGAUUUCUGCAGUGUAUCGCAGGAAUUAGCGGCAGACGGGUGAGUAAUACUUGGGCAAUCUGCCCUUGAGUGGGAAACAACCGGCCGAAAGGCUGGUUAAUGUCCCAUAAGACCACAGGAUGGCAUCAUCCAGGGGUCAAAGCUCCGUAAGGGGCGCUUGAGGAGGAGCCUGAGUCCUAUCAUGGUAGUUGGUGAGGUAACGGCUCACCAAGCCUUUGACGGGUAGCCGGCCUGAAAGGGUGAUCGGCCACACUGGCACUGAGACACGGGCCAGACUCCUACGGGAGGCAGCAGUGGGGAAUUUUGGACAAUGGGGGCAACCCUGAUCCAGCGACGCCGCGUGAAGGAUGAAGGUCUUCGGAUUGUAAACUUCUUUUGGAGGGGAUGAAUGUCUGAGUGAAUAACUCAGAGUGACAGUACUCUCGGAAUAAGCCACGGCUAACUACGUGCCAGCAGCCGCGGUAAUACGUAGGUGGCAAGCGAUACUCGGAAUCACUAGGCGUAAAGCGCAGGUAGGCGGUUCAGUAAGUCUUUUGUGAAAGCUCCCGGCUCAACUGGGAGAGGCCAAGGGAAACUACUGGACUAGAGUGUGGUAGGGGAUACUGGAAUUCCUGGUGUAGCGGUGAAAUGCGUAGAUAUCAGGAGGAAUACCUAUGGCGAAAGCAGGUAUCUGGGCCAUCACUGACGCUGAGCUGCGAAAGCUAGGGGAGCAAACAGGAUUAGAUACCCCUGUAGUCC
rnacentral:rRNA from 1 species